GCUUUCUCCCAGGUAUAGACUGGGUGAUAAGCGAAGGUCAUCAGGCGGUCAACCUGGUGGCCUUCAUUUUUUAUUU
rnacentral:antisense_RNA from 1 species